UACGUAGGGGGCGAGCGUUGUCCGGAAUUAUUGGGCGUAAAGAGCGUGUAGGCUGUUCGGUAAGUCUGCCGUGAAAACCUGAGGCUCAACCUCGGGCGUGCGGUGGAUACUGCCGGGCUAGAGGACGGUAGAGGCGAGUGGAAUUCCCGGUGUAGCGGUGAAAUGCGCAGAUAUCUGGAGGAACACCGGUGGCGAAGGCGGCAUCCUGGACCGGCAUUGACGCUGAGGCGCGAAAGCUAGGGGAGCAAACGGG
rnacentral:rRNA from 1 species